rnacentral:rRNA from 1 species
AUGUUUUUCUUUGAAGGCACCUUGAAGAGUGAGAAAGUGAUAAUAACAGUAGAAGCAUCCAAGAGUUCAUUUAACCAUUAUACGUACUCCCUCCGUUCGGAAUUACUUGUCUCAGAAGUGGAUGUAUCUAGAUGUAUUUUAGUUUUAGAUACAUCCAUUUUCGAGACAAGUAAUUCCGAACAGAGGGAGUAUAUGCCAGCAGAUAAACCUCGAACCAGAUUGCUUUUCUUGGGUAAUCGUGGGUUCCCUCGCCCGCGGAGAAGCACCGCAGCAGCCAACUCCGUCAUUGUCCAUGUCAUAUACACACCGCCUUCGUCCUCGCUUGCGUUGCGUGGCGUGGUGAUCCCCGCCGAAUCUUCUUGGCCUUCUAGAAGGUGCGGGCGUCCUCUGAAAAAGAAAAAGAAAGAGGAAAAUGUGUGA